GACGAACGCUGGCGGCGUGCUUAACACAUGCAAGUCGAACGGAAAGGCCCUGCUUUUGUGGGGUGCUCGAGUGGCGAACGGGUGAGUAACACGUGAGUAACCUGCCCUUGACUUUGGGAUAACUUCAGGAAACUGGGGCUAAUACCGGAUAGGAGCUCCUGCUGCUUGGUGGGGGUGGGAAAGUUUCGGCGGUUGGGGAUGGACUCGCGGCUUAUCAGCUUGUUGGUGGGGUAGUGGCUUACCAAGGCUUUGACGGGUAGCCGGCCUGAGAGGGUGACCGGCCACAUUGGGACUGAGAUACGGCCCAGACUCCUACGGGAGGCAGCAGUGGGGAAUAUUGCACAGUGGGCGGAAGCCUGAUGCAGCAACGCCGCGUGCGGGAUGACGGCCUUCGGGUAGUAAACCGCUUUCGCCUGAGACGAAGCGUGAGUGACGGUAAUGGGUAAAGAAGCACCGGCUAACUACGUG
rnacentral:rRNA from 1 species